rnacentral:rRNA from 1 species
ACGUAGGAGGCAAGCGUUAUCCGGAGUUACUGGGCGUAAAGCGCAUGUAGGCGGUUGGGCAAGUGGCGUGUGAAAGCUCCCGGCUAAACUGGGAGAGGACACGUCAGACUGCCCGGCUAGAGGUCGGUAGAGGGGCGCAGAAUUCGGGGUGUAGCGGUGAAAUGCGUUGAUAUUAUGGGGAACACCAAAAGCGAAGGCAAGAAACUGGACCGCUCCUGACACUGAAACACGAAAGCGUGGGUCGCGAAUGGGA